rnacentral:lncRNA from 1 species
AGCUGUCUUGUCUCCUUGAUGGCUGCUGUCUCAACAUAAGUUCUCAGCUCCUGCUCUAGAGCCAUGCUUGCCUGUUUCCAUGCUUCUCCAGACGAUGGUCAUGAACUCUGCUGCCCUCCGGAAUCAUGAGCCCCAGACUAAAUGCUUUCUUACAUAUGCUCACACGAUCUGAAAUUCGCUGCUGUGAAAACAGAAGGAAACGGUCCUGUCAGGAGAACCAGCCCCUGCAGUUCCCUAAGGCUGGCACAAUGGAGGAAGGUUCCUCUCCGCCUGAGUUCCUACCUCGGUGAUGGACUCCGUGAUGGACUAUGAUCCUGACACCUACAUCGCCCUGGAGUGGCUGACUUACCUGGACACCUGGGCCAGACUUCAGUUUCUAGGAGGACUCCGUCAACUCUCAACCUGACUCACAUGCCAACACAGGAGCCAAAAUGAUGGGCCACAACUAAGAUCCGGCAGGUGCUUGCAGACAGUGACAUCUUGUGGGAAAUCUCAGGAACUGCACCGUGGCAAAUCGCUGCUCCUUUUACUGUGGGGUCCUUGGAAUACCCAGUCAACAUCAAGGAAGCAUUCAUUCAUUCACUGCCUUCUGUGUACAAGGAACUGAUCCAAGUCCUGGAAUAAAGAAAGCAAGAGAGACUGGA